AAGACUAUACUUUCAGGGAUCAUUUCUAUAGUGACUGACUAGGAAAUGUGAUGUGAAAGUGUCACGUCUCUCUAAUCACGAUGACGAGGUCUGAUGUGUUCUUCUGAGCGUGAAUCGGGUUCAAGUUAAUAUUUUUUAUUUCAUCUUGAACCAUUGAUGAACGUUCUUUAUUCCAUCUGAAAUAAAAGAGGAAGAGCACAUGAUCAGAGUGAU